rnacentral:rRNA from 1 species
UAUACAGCGAAACUGCGAAUGGCUCAUUAUAUAAGUUAUCGUUUAUUUGAUAGUGCCUUACUACUUGGAUAACCGUGGUAAUUCUAGAGCUAAUACAUGCUAAAAACCCCGACUUCGGAAGGGGUGUAUUUAUUAGAUACAAAACCAAUGCCCUUCGGGGCACUUUGGUGAUUCAUGAUAACUAUACGAAUCGCACGGCCUUGCGCCGGCGAUGGUUCAUUCAAAUUUCUUCCCUAUCAACUUUCGAUGUUUGGGUAUUGGCCAAACAUGGUUGCAACGGGUAACGGAGGGUUAGGGCUCGACCCCGGAGAAGGAGCCUGAGAAACGGCUACUACAUCCAAGGAAGGCAGCAGGCGCGCAAAUUACCCAAUCCCGACUCGGGGAGGUAGUGACAAUAAAUACUGAUACAGGGCCCUUUCGGGCCUUGUAAUUGGAAUGAGUACAAUUUAAAUCCCUUAACGAGGAACAAUUGGAGGGCAAGUCUGGUGCCAGCAGCCGCGGUAAUUCCAGCUCCAAUAGCGUAUAU